UCUCAGGAUGAACGCUGGCGGCGUGCCUAAUACAUGCAAGUCGAACGCACAGCGAAAGGUGCUUGCACCUUUCAAGUGAGUGGCGAACGGGUGAGUAACACGUGGACAACCUGCCUCAAGGCUGGGGAUAACAUUUGGAAACAGAUGCUAAUACCGAAUAAAACUUAGUGUCGCAUGACACAAAGUUAAAAGGCGCUUCGGCGUCACCUAGAGAUGGAUCCGCGGUGCAUUAGUUAGUUGGUGGGGUAAAGGCCUACCAAGACAAUGAUGCAUAGCCGAGUUGAGAGACUGAUCGGCCACAUUGGGACUGAGACACGGCCCAAACUCCUACGGGAGGCUGCAGUAGGGAAUCUUCCACAAUGGGCGAAAGCCUGAUGGAGCAACGCCGCGUGUGUGAUGAAGGCUUUCGGGUCGUAAAGCACUGUUGUAUGGGAAGAACAGCUAGAAUAGGAAAUGAUUUUAGUUUGACGGUACCAUACCAGAAAGGGACGGCUAAAUACGUGCCAGCAGCCGCGGUAAUACGUAUGUCCCGAGCGUUAUCCGGAUUUAUUGGGCGUAAAGCGAGCGCAGACGGUUUAUUAAGUCUGAUGUGAAAGCCCGGAGCUCAACUCCGGAAUGGCAUUGGAAACUGGUUAACUUGAGUGCAGUAGAGGUAAGUGGAACUCCAUGUGUAGCGGUGGAAUGCGUAGAUAUAUGGAAGAACACCAGUGGCGAAGGCGGCUUACUGGACUGCAACUGACGUUGAGGCUCGAAAGUGUGGGUAGCAAACAGGAUUAGAUAC
rnacentral:rRNA from 1 species